rnacentral:rRNA from 1 species
GGCUUAUUGUAUUUGAUUUUAAGUCUGACCUGCUCAAUGAUUAUAAAUAUUAAAUAGCUGCGGUAUUUUGACCGUGCAAAGGUAGCAUAAUCAUUAGUUUUUUAAUUGAAAGCUAGUAUGAAUGGUUUGAUGAAAAAAUAUCUGUCUCUGUUUUAGUUUUUGAAUUUUAUUUUUAAGUGAAAAAGCUUAGAUAUUUAUAGAAGACGAGAAGACCCUAUAGAGUUUUAUAUUUAUAUAUUUAAUUUUUGUAAAGAGAUUUUAGUUAUAUAUAUAAGUAUUUGAUUGGGGUGAUUGAAAAAUUUAUGAAACUUUUUUUUUAUUUAAACAAUAAUUUUUGAUUGAUUGAUCCUUUUAUUAAGAUUAAAAGAUAAAAUUACCUUAGGGAUAACAGCGUAAUUUUUUAGAUAGUUCGUAUUGAAAAAAAAGAUUGCGACCUCGAUGUUGGAUUAAAAUAAAUUUUUGGUGUAGAAGCUAAUAAAUUAGGUCUGUUCGACCUUUAAUAUUUUACAUGAUCUGAGUUUAAACCGGUGUGAG